rnacentral:rRNA from 1 species
GGCAAUGGGGGAAACCCUGACCGAGCAACGCCGCGUGAGCGAAGAAGGCCUUCGGGUCGUAAAGCUCUGUUGUAAAGGAAGAACGUCGCAUGCAGGAAAUGGUGUGCGAGUGACGGUACUUUACCAGAAAGCCACGGCUAACUACGUGCCAGCAGCCGCGGUAAUACGUAGGUGGCGAGCGUUAUCCGGAAUCAUUGGGCGUAAAGAGGGAGCAGGCGGCCGCAAGGGUCUGUGGUGAAAGACCGAAGCUAAACUUCGGUAAGCCAUGGAAACCGGGCGGCUAGAGUGCGGAAGAGGAUCGUGGAAUUCCAUGUGUAGCGGUGAAAUGCGUAGAUAUAUGGAGGAACACCAGUGGCGAAGGCGACGGUCUGGGCCGCAACUGACGCUCAUUCCCGAAAGCGUGGGGAGCAAAUAGGAUUAGAUACCCUAGUAGUCCACGCCGUAAACGAUGGUCACUAGGUGUCGGGGGUCAAACCCCGGUGCUGCAGUCAACGCAAUAAGUGACCCGCCUGAGUAGUACGUUCGCAAGAAUGCAACUCAAAUGAAUUGACGGA